rnacentral:rRNA from 1 species
UACGGGGGGGGCAAGCGUUGUUCGGAAUUACUGGGCGUAAAGGGCUCGUAGGCGGCUAACUAAGUCAGACGUGAAAUCCCUAGGCUCAACCUAGGAACUGCGUCUGAUACUGGAUGGCUUGAAUCCGGGAGAGGGAUGCAGAAUUCCAGGUGUAGCGGUGAAAUGCGUAGAUAUCUGGAGGAAUACCGGUGGCGAAGGCGGCAUCCUGGACCGGCAUUGACGCUGAGGAGCGAAAGCCAGGGGAGCAAACGGG